GCCUUGGAGAAGCUCGCCGGAACCUCUUCCGGGUGGGUCUGCUUGCGCAGGCGCAGUUUCACCCGGGGUCGGGCUGGCCCUGGAAAUGGGGGUUGCGUUAGGUGAGCUGUGGGGGGUGGGGCGUGAGGGGGGGCGGGUCGGUGUUUGGGGGUGUGAGCUGCUGGGUCCGAGGGAACGUGGGAGGGGAGAGGAGCCGGGGCGGAGCCUGGCUGGGCGGGGCUCCCUUUUCCUGCCCCGCGGGGAGCAGAGCUCAGUCCUUGUUCUGUGCUUGCAGGUCCCAGGCCAGCCUCCUGCCUGGGAAGAACAGGGAAAGACCUCUGCCCUUCUGGGAUCCUUCUCCCUCUCCAGCUCAGCCUGCAGAGGACCAAGACCCGUCCCAGCAGGGAGCCUGGAGCCAGAGGGAAUGGCCCCUGGGAGCCUCAGACCCCAAGCCCAGGUAAGUGCAGUCCAUCCUUUAUCAACAUUUAAGGCCAUUUCCAUAGAAAUAGAGGAUUGUCUGUGUAGCUGGCAAUACCUCACUUAUGGAUCAUUUCUUUACAAAAAUAAGUAUGAAAUUGAAUACAGUAGUAAUAAUACUGUCCUGCUCUCUUGUUUUGGAUUGAUUCAUUUGCACUUUGGCAUCUCCAGCACUCCCUCCCUCCUAUCCAAAUUGCUGCCCUCCCUUUGUUGUUUUUUCAAGUUCUUACUCAUUGCAACUGAUUUGACAUGGAUGUCCACUUGACUUAUGAGUCUCUAUUCCAUAGACUCUGUGUCUUUGCUUGCUUUGUGUAUGCCUCCUCUCAUCUGCCUCACCCCCCACACUCUUCUCCCCCUUCCUCUUUGUUUCUUGUGGCCAAGCUCUGUUAUGCACCAGCUGCUGGUCCAGGAAGCCCCUCACCAGCAGUCUUAUCUGAACACGCCAGAAGCAGAGCCCUGAAGGCUUUCCUAACUGUUCACACACACACACACACACACACACACACAUGCACACAUACACACCCAAAGGUUCCGCAGCUGUUGUAAUUGCAAUGUUGUGUCAGGGCUGAUAUUGUCCUGGUCCUGCUCAUUUCUUUCUUCCCAGGUCCCUUUGAAUCCCUCUCCAUUACCAUUUUUUAGGUCCAGUCAUUUUGUAAGUGAAGGCUCUGUGUGGAAACAUUGGUCGUCCUCUCUCAUGCUCAAAAUGCCUUCAGUAUGUCAGGGUCAAGGUAUGGUGUACCCAGCUGUGGCUGAUCAGAUCAGCAUGAGCUCACAAGACUCUACCACAGGUUGGACAGAAAUAGUUUGUGUGAACAUUUGGGAUGGCUUCUCUGAAUUUGUGCAUCUUCAGUUUCUUUUGAGCUACUUCAGUUUUGCUUUGCUCAUAGAGCAGAGCACCUUCUCUGAUGAGGGCACACCAUGCUGGGUGGUUCUGUGCCAGGGUCUCCCAUGUCUCACAAUUAUUUCCAGAGUUCUUCAGAGAAAUCUUGAGAGUAUCCUUGUAUCGCUUCGUCUGACCCCGAUGUGAAAGCUUGCCUUGUGUGAGUUCUCUGUAAAAUAGUCUUUAGGCAAGCAUACAUUUGGCAUUCAGGCAUAUCACUAGCCCAGUUGCACUCUUUGCAGUAGAGUUUGAAUGCUUGGCAGCUUAGCUUGAGAAAGGACCUCAGUGUCUGGUAUCUUAUCCUGCCAGGUGAUCUUCAGACUCUUCCUAAGACAAUUCAAAUGGAAGCAGUUCAGGUUCCUGGCAUGGCGCUGGUAUGCUGUCCAGCUUUCACAGGCAUACAACAAUGAGGUCAGCACAAGGGCUCUGUAGACCUGCAGUUUGGUAGUCAGUCUAAUACCUCUUCUCUCCCACACUUUCAUUGAGAGUCUUCCAAACACUGAGCUAGCUCUGGCAGUGUGUGUGUUAACCUCAUCAUCUAUGGCCAUCCCCGGAAAGUACACCACCAGGUAAGUGAACUGAUCCCCAGUGUUCGGCGUUUCUCCGUUUGCUGUGACCUACUGGAGAUGCAAAGGAAGGAAGAACCAGUUCCUGCCCUCCAGGAGCUCCUACCUGAAUGGGGGCAACAUCCUGUCAGCAUCUGUGUCCAAAGUUCUGUACAAUACAGAAAGGAAGUACGCUGGGAGAGAAGACUCUAGCUGUUUUAGGGAUCAGGAAAAUCCUUUUUUUAGAAAGUGAGUUUAUCUGAGACUUGAAUGAAGCCAGGAGGCCCAUGUGACAAGGAAGAACAUUGCAAAAAUGAGAGAUAGCCUUUGGAAAGGCACCCAGGAGAUGGAGCCCACUGUCCCUGCAUCAAUUGCUGUCCUUUGUACUUGAAGAGGACCAAAAUGACUUCCCUGUGCUGGGACCGACGUACAGUGUGUCCGACUGUGGCUGAUCAAACCAAGAUGAGCCUGGAAGAUGCUCAGAGGUGGGGCCCAGAUAGUCCAUAUGGACAUUUGGCUCUGCUUUGCCCAUGGAGCACAGUGCCUUCUUUGAUGUGGGCAUACCGCAUUGGACGGCCAUUUGCCACUGUCUCCCAUAUCUCAUAAUUGAAUACAGAGUUCUUCAAAGAGACCUGGAGAAUAUCCUCGUGUCUCUUCUUUUGACUUCCCUGUGAGCACCUGCCUUGUGUGAAUCCACAGUAUAAGAGUAUUUUAGGCAAACGUAUGUUUUGCAUUUGAACAAUGUAGUUGGCCUGUUGGAGAUAUGAUCUCUGUAGUAGAGUUUGAAAGCUGGUCAGUUCAGUUCAGGAAAGGACCUCAGCAUCUGGCAUCUUAUCCUGCCAGGUGAUCUUCAGAAUCUUCCUAACACAAUUCAGAUGGAAGCCAUUCAGUUUCCAUCAUGGCACUGGUAGACCGUCCAGGUUUUACAGGCAUACAACGAUGAAGUCAGCACAAUGGCUCUGUAGACCUUCAGUUUGGUAGUCACUCUAAUACCUCUUCCCUCUCAUGCUUUCCUUGGGAGACUCCGUCACACUGAACUAGUUCUGGCAGUGUGUGUCAUCUCUUCAUCUAUGUGUACAUCCCUGCAAAGCAUGCUGCCAAGGUAAGUGGAGGAAUAUUUGGUGCACGACUCUGUUCACAGGUGACGGUGCCCUCAGUGCAGCCUCUGAGGCUGAGAUGCAACAGAGUAUGGAUCGAUUCUGUGUGGCCUGUAACACCAAGAAAACAGAGGUUCUCCACAGCCAGCCCCACACCCUCCACAUGUGGAACUGUUGGUUCCAGUAAAUGGAGACAUGUGGAAUGCUGUGGGUCAGUUCACUUCCCUCAGUAGUCAUUGUGGCAGUGAGGCUGGAAAGCCAGGCUGGGCUGGUUAUGUGGCACCGACUGUACGCUGGGCGCCUCAUCAGUAACAUCUCAUUGGAUCUUGUUGCAGGAGUGAUCAGGGUCCUUUCUUGCGACGGCCUGAAUGAGGCAGUGCAGAGUGCAGCCAGCAGCUCCAUUACAGCGUUCCUAUCCACUCAAAAGGUGACUCACCCUAUCAGUAGAGACUGGACACCAAUGUCCUUCAUUUGCACAGGUGUCAUAUUCUGUCCUCCCGAGUUACCUGAAACCUAGCGAGAGUCAAAAGCAGUUGGGGUAAGAUCAGGUUUGGCCUUUAUGUGGAAAUACUUACAGAAUAGAUGAUUUUUUUUUAAAAAAAAUUAGAUGCUUGAAGCCUUAAAGGGCCUUUAACAUAGCUAUUUUUACUAGGCUGAGAAAACUCUUAUCUUCUUUAUCAGUCAUUUAGUUAAUUAGCAUGUGUUAAGCACCUUGCUUUAUUAGCUAGGAUAGAGGGAAAGGGGCAAGUUAAUGCAGAAAUAUUCCAAGACCUGCUGGUUUUCUUUUCUAAUUUGGAGAAGGGAAGUACUGAAGGAGACAUUCUAUUCUUGUCAAAAAGGCGUCAGGCUCAAAUGGAAUGUGGGUCACAACAUUUCCAGUCAGCAACCAAGGGCAACUGAGGCAUGAGCAAUCAGCGACUUAUUUAGGGAGCCAUCCAGAUCCAAGACCUUCCUUGUGAUUGUGGGUGCCUGCUGCUUGAGCGGCAUCAUCGAUACAGGGGGAGAGCAUAUGAAAAAUUGCAGGAGGCAGUGCUAGUUCACAAUCGGUUAACCCCAGAAGAGGGGAAAAUGCUGUGGUUGGCUGAGAGACAUGCACAUUAAUCAUAAUCACUUUGUGCUGAUAAAACCCAAGUCAUGCGUUCUACGUCAUUAGCUGCAGGUUUUCCUCAGAAAAGGCCUUCCCCCUUCUGCCUCAGCAGAGGUUUUCCUAGGAAGUCAAACAUCUGGUGUUUUGGUCAGCAAUGAUCCAGCUGUGAAGGAAGCAAUGGGUGAGAGGAAAGGUCAGCAGGGAGCAGUGAAAAUGCUUCCUAUGGGUGACGGGUGCAGAUGCAUCAACGGCGAGCAUCAGGGUUAAAUGUAGUGUGCUCUUCUGUAACAGACAGUUAUAUGAUUUUAUCCUGUAAUCUGCAAUGAGCUGAUUUCUACAUCAUAAAAUUCACUGGUACAUAAGAGGCUAUUUGGUCUUUACAUAUAUAUAUAUAUGUAUAUAUAAAAAAAGUCAUCCAUACUUAACUAACAUAAACUUAAUCCUAUUCUGCUAACCCACUAGUAGAGGUUGUGCAGGCCUAUUUUACAUUCUCUACAUUUUUUGCAGGCCACUGCAAAUCUUUUGGCAGACACAAGCAGCCUUAUGUUGUGCAAGCCUUUCCUAAGGCAGCUUCAUGUAGUUUUGCUGAGGGAUUUGCAUUUUUGCAGGCUGCCCGAAAUCCUUUGGCAGGCCACUAGUGGUGUGUGAUGUUGUGCGGACCUGGUCUAGACAUAAGGAAGUGAUGUUCAUGGUGAACAUAAAACAAAAGUGUGAUAUGCUUACAUUUCCCCCCCCGGAAGCCAGAUAUGAAACAUGUACUAGCAUUCCACUGUCUGGCUUCUUCCUCUUGUAGCUGAUCGCCACUUUUGGUUUCUCUACUAUAGGCAUCCCACCAGAGCCCCUUCACCCAUCAUAUGAGGACAUCAAGAAAGCCAUCCAUCCCUUGUGAUUACUUGACCGGCACAUGUUAUUGAUUCCUUAAUAGGGAUUUUGUUUCUGUAAAGUGCCCAGAAAAGAGAAUCUAGCACAGAGGAUUGUUUUGGUUGUGAGGGAGAUUCUAGGACAGGGUCAAGUUGUGUGCCCUUGUGGUUAAUGGCACGCACAUGAGGCACCUUGAGGUGAAGCAAUAAUAGGAUGGCUUAGCUGGCAAUGCAUAAUACAGCAAUGCCAUCAUAAUGGCAAUAAAUAAUAUGCAUGAUGCA
rnacentral:lncRNA from 1 species